GCAAGAGCCAGCUUCAGUUUGUGCCUCCAAAACAGUGUUUGUCCUGGGCAUGGUGGAGCACUGCAGCCACCCCUGGAUGGACUUCUCAGUUACAGGUGUUCAGAUUCAUGUGAUGACAGCUGGAAGCUGAGCAAAAAUGAAGACACUCUUAUUGUACCCAAACCUGGUCUUUCAUAGUCUGACAAUUUGAGGACAUCCUGCUAUGAUGUCAGAGCAGCACUGAGAAAAAAAUUACCUCACAACUUGAUGAGAUCUCUGCAGAGGUGGAGUCAGUUCCAUAGAUGUUGGAAGCAAAGCACGAGUAACGCCCCGUGUCCUCCUCAAAAGCUUCCACAAU